rnacentral:rRNA from 1 species
UUGAUGUUCUAACGUUGGCCCGUUAUCCGGGUUGCGGACAGUGUCUGGUGGGUAGUUUGACUGGGGCGGUCUCCUCCUAAAGAGUAACGGAGGAGCACGAAGGUUGGCUAAUCCUGGUCGGACAUCAGGAGGUUAGUGCAAUGGCAUAAGCCAGCUUGACUGCGAGCGUGACGGCGCGAGCAGGUGCGAAAGCAGGUCAUAGUGAUCCGGUGGUUCUGAAUGGAAGGGCCAUCGCUCAACGGAUAAAAGGUACUCCGGGGAUAACAGGCUGAUACCGCCCAAGAGUUCAUAUCGACGGCGGUGUUUGGCACCUCGAUGUCGGCUCAUCACAUCCUGGGGCUGAAGUAGGUCCCAAGGGUAUGGCUGUUCGCCAUUUAAAGUGGUACGCGAGCUGGGUUUAGAACGUCGUGAGACAGUUCGGUCCCUAUCUGCCGUGGGCGCUGGAGAACUGAGGGGGGCUGCUCCUAGUACGAGAGGACCGGAGUGGACGCAUCACUGGUGUUCGGGUUGUCAUGCCAAUGGCACUGCCCGGUAGCUAAAUGCGGAAGAGAUAAGUGCUGAAAGCAUCUAAGCACGAAACUUGCCCCGAGAUGAGUUCUCCCUGACUCCCUGAGAGUCCUGAAGGAACGUUGAAGACGACGACGUUGAUAGGCCGGGUGUGUAAGCGCAGCGAUGCGUUGAGCUAACCGGUACUAAUGAACCGUGAGG